rnacentral:rRNA from 1 species
AACGAAGGGAACUGAAACAUCUAAGUACCUUUAGGAAAAGAAAUCAACCGAGAUUCCGUAAGUAUUGGCGAAAGAAAGCGGAGGAGACAAAUCAACGAAUAAAACAACCAGAACAAGGUGGAAUCCUUGACCAAAGAUGGUGAAAGUCCAGUAUUUUUGUAUAUCGUUGAUAGUAAGUAAAACAAUUCAUCUUGUUUGAACUUGAGGAGGCCCACCUUCUUUGUCUAAAUAUGUGUUGAGACCGAUAGUGAACAAGUACCGUGAGGGAAAAGUGAAAAGAACCCUAUACAAGGGAGUGCAACAGAUCCUGAAACUUAAAACAUCCAAUCAGUUAAAGCAUCUGCACGAUGUUUUAGCGUACCUUUUGCAUAAUGGGUCAGUGAGUAAAUGAAUUCAGCUUGCUUAAGCGACAACGUGGAGGCGAAGCAAACGCGAGUACAAAGAUGUGCGCCCAGUUGGAUUCAUUUGACCCGAAACUAAGUGAUCUACCUAUGAGCAGGUUGAAGAAAGCGUAAUUUCUUUUGGAGGACCGAACCGACGUCUGUAGCAAUAGGCGCGGAUGACUUGUUGGUAGGGGUGAAAGGCCAAUCAAACUUAGAGAUAGCUGGUUCUUCGCGAAAUUUAUUGAGGUAAAGCGUUUGAUUUUGUUCAAAAGGGGUAGAGCACUCAUGAAGCUAUGGGGGUCCAAAGCCUUACUGAUCUUCCUGAAACUCCGAAUACUUUAUGAUCGUAAAUCAAACAGACAGACUUAAAGUGCUAAGGUUUUAAGUCAAAAGGGAAACAGCCCAGACUAUUUGCUAAGGUCCUUAAACAAUAAGUAAGUGGUAAAAGAAGUUUUUAUCCAAUGACAACUAGGAAAUUGGCUUGGAAGCAGCCAUUUUAUAAUGAAAGCGUAAUAGCUCACUAGUCAAGGAUAGAAGCGCUGACAAUGUAUCGGGGCUCAACUUAUUUACCGAAGCAAUAGAGAAAAGGUAGCGAAGCGUUUUGUAAACCGAUGAAGGUAUUUUGUGAAAAAUAUUGAAGGAUUCAAAAGUGAGUAUACUGACAUGAGUAACGUAAAAAUCAUGUGAAAAUCAUGAUCGCCGUAAGUUCAAGGGUUUCUGCGAUCUGGAAGUCAACGCAGAGUGAUUCGGCUUCUAAAUUUACUGUGAUUACAGUUAAAUGAUGAAUAUAUGGGAACUGACAAAUGGGGUACGUAUUUUUAUCAAACCGGAUAGAUAAAAAUACGUACCCCAUUUCAGGAAAAGGUCCUAUUUACUCGAAACCGUACCCAAAACCAACACUGGUGAACAAGUCGAAUAGACUCAGGCGUUGAGAUAACCAUGCUGAAGGAACUCGGCAAAAUAUUCCCGUACCUUAGGAAGAAGGGAAACCAAUAUUUAUUGGUGACACAAAAUUGAGGGUGACGACUUUUUACUAAAAAAUUAGGACUCUGCAAAAUGGUAACAUGAAGUAUAGGGUCUGACGUCUGCCCGGUGCUAGAAGCUUAAGAGGAGACUUGGAAGAGUUGAAUUGAAGGCCUAGUAAACGGCGGUUGUAACUAUAACAAUCAUAAAGUAGCGAAAUUCCUUGCCAGCUAAUUCCUGGCCUGCAUGAAAGACGUAACGAUUGCCCUACUGUCUCCAGCAUGGACUCAGUGAAAUUGAAUUUUCCGUGAAGAUGCGGAAAUCGUGCCCCAAGACGAGAAGACCCUAUGCAUCUUUACUAUACAUGUACAUUGAACAA